CUUCUCCAUCUUCCCUGGGAUGCACUGUGGGUGGCUUCUCCAGCUGGCUGUGGCCUGGGAUCAUGGGGUAAGC